rnacentral:tRNA from 1 species
GUAGAAAUAAUUUAAAUAAAAUAUUGAAUUGUGAUUUCAAAUAUGUGCUUUUCACUUUCUACC